UAGUCCACACCGUAAACGAUGAGAGCUAGUUGUCUGCAGGCAUGCCUGUAGGUGACGCAGCUAACGCAUUAAGCUCUCCGCCUGGGGAGUACGGUCGCAAGAUUAAAACUCAAAGAAAUUGACGGGGGCCCGCACAAGCGGUGGAGCAUGUGGUUUAAUUCGAAGCAACGCGCAGAACCUUACCUACCCUUGACAUGCCGGUCGCGAUUUCCAGAGAUGGAUUUCUUCAAUUCGGUUGGACCGUGCACAGGUGCUGCAUGGCUGUCGUCAGUUCGUGUCGUGAGAUGUUGGGUUAAGUCCCGCAACGAGCGCAACCCUCGCCUUUAGUUGCCAGCAUUUAGUUGGGCACUCUAGAGGAACCGCCGGUGAUAAGCCGGAGGAAGGUGGGGAUGACGUCAAGUCCUCAUGGCCCUUACGUGGUGGGCUACACACGUGCUACAAUGGCGCUAACAAUGGGUUAAUCCCCAAAAGGCGUCCCAGUUCGGAUUGUCUUCUGCAA
rnacentral:rRNA from 1 species